rnacentral:rRNA from 1 species
ACCUGCGGAAGGAUCAUUAUUGAAUAAACUUGGUUGGGUUGCUGCUGGCUCUUCGGAGCAUGUGCACGCCUAGCACCAUCUUUUACCACCUGUGCACCUUUUGUAGACAUGGAAUAUCUCUCGAGGAAACUCGGUUUGAGGGGGCCUGCUGUGUGAAAAAGCCAGCUUUCCCUGGUGUUCCUAGUUUACGUCUUCAUAUACACCCCAUGAAUGUAACAGAAUGUCAUUAAAUUGGCCUUUGUGCCUUUAUAAAUCAAAUACAACUUUCAACAACGGAUCUCUUGGCUCUCGCAUCGAUGAAGAACGCAGCGAAAUGCGAUAAGUAAUGUGAAUUGCAGAAUUCAGUGAAUCAUCGAAUCUUUGAACGCACCUUGCGCUCCUUGGUAUUCCGAGGAGCAUGCCUGUUUGAGUGUCAUUAAAUUCUCAACCUUUCCAACUUUUGUUAGCUGGUCAGGCUUGGAUUGUGAGGGUUGCGGGCUUCUCGGAAGUCAGCUCUCUUUAAAUGCAUUAGCGAAACCUUUGUUGAAUUAGCUCUGGUGUGAUAAUUAUCUACGCCAUUGUGAAACAACCUACCAUAGGGUUUGGCUUCUAAUCGUCCUUUUGGGACAAGUUUUUGACAAUUUGACCUCAAAUCAGGUAGGACUACCCGCUGAACUUAAGCAUAUC